GAACUUAAGCAUAUCAAUAAGCGGAGGAAAAGAAACUAACAAGGAUUCCCCUAGUAACUGCGAGUGAAGCGGGAAGAGCUCAAAUUUAAAAUCUGGCAGCUGAUGGGCUUGUCCGAGUUGUAAUCUAGAGAAGUGUCUUCCGCGCUGGGACCGUGUACAAGUCUCUUGGAAUGGAGCAUCAUAGAGGGUGAGAAUCCCGUCUCUGACACGGAAUUUACCGGUGCUUUUGUGAUGCGCUCUCGAAGAGUCGAGUUGUUUGGGAAUGCAGCUCAAAAUGGGUGGUAAAUUCCAUCUAAAGCUAAAUACAGGCGAGAGACCGAUAGCGAACAAGUACCGUGAGGGAAAGAUGAAAAGGACUUUGAAAAGAGAGUUAAACAUUACGUGAAAUUGUUGAAAGGGAAACGACUCAAGUCAGUCGCAUUAGCCAGUAAUCAACCCUCGCAAUUAACCUUGCUGGGCUUACUUUCUGGUUGAUGGGUCAGCAUCAAUUUUGACCGUCAGAGAAAGGCUUUGCGGGGAAUGUGACAUCUUCGGAUGUGUUAUAGCCCCAACUCGCAUGUGAUGGUCGGGAUUGAGGAACUCAGCACGCCUUUACAGGUCAGGGCCGCCAGAAUGGCCCAUGUAAACGUAGCUUAGGAUGCUGGCAUAAUGGCUUGAACCGACCCGUCUUGAAACACGGACCAAGGAGUCUAACAUGCCUGCGAGUGUUUGGGUGGAAAACCCGAGCGCGAAGUGAAAGUGAACUUGGUUGAGAUCCCUGUCGUGGGGAGCAUCGACGCCCGGACCAGACCUUCUGUGACGGAUCUGCGGUAGAGCAUGCAUGUUGGGACCCGAAA
rnacentral:rRNA from 1 species